GCAGUGGUGGUUCAGUGAUAGAAAACUCACCUUCCAUGUGGAAGACCCAGGUUUGAUUCCCAGCCAAUGUG
rnacentral:tRNA from 1 species